rnacentral:lncRNA from 1 species
AAAAUAUGUUGGUCUAGUAGUAACCAUCAGAGGGCUUCAAUUGAUCCUUUUCGGAGAAUGAGACGGUCUAGGAGAGCCAUUGACUCCAACUAGCACCCAUGUAUGAUCUACACUAGAUCUGAUCAACUAUUCAGCCUACCUUCUUUAUGUUCUUGACAAUCUAUAUUUGUUCGAGCAUGGCUAACUCACACAGUGCGACGAGAGGUGUGUAAAAGGCCGGAGAACGAAUUUACCACCAUAUGUCUGAUUGACAACUACUAGUGAUUCCGACUUCGUGUAAGUGAGUUGUAACUUGCAAUCCGAACUGAGA